CCUCUUACCUGGCAGAGGCAAUACCAUGGUCAUGAAGGUGGUUUUCCCAGGGCGAUGCUCGUCCAUCGCACCGCAGAUGUGCUGGACCUUGUGAUUUCCCCAAAUCUGGGAAACUCAACUGUAUAAUUUGUGAUCGUGGGGGGCUGUGUUCACUCUCUCCCCUG